AAUCAACGCUGGCGGCGUGCCUCAGACAUGCAAGUCGAACGAUUAAAGCUCCCUUCGGGGAGUGCAUAAAGUGGCGCACGGGUGAGUAACACGUAAGUAAUCUACCCUCGAGUGGGGAAUAACGUCCGGAAACGGACGCUAAUACCGCAUAAUGCAGCGGCCCCGCAAGGUGACCGUUGUUAAAGAUUUAUCGCUUGAGGAGGAGCUUGCGGCAGAUUAGCGAGUUGGGAAGGUAAUGGCUUACCAAGGCCGCGAUCUGUAACCGGUCUAAGAGGACGGUCGGUCACACUGACACUGAAUAACGGGGCAGACUCCUACGGGAGGCAGCAGUCGGGGAUUUUGGGCAAUGGGCGAAAGCCUGACCCAGCAACGCCGCGUGAAGGAUGAAGUAUUUCGGUAUGUAAACUUCGAAAGAAUGGGAAGAAUAAAUGACGGUACCAUUUAUAAGCUCCGGCUAACUACGUGCCAGCAGCCGCCGCUGUAA
rnacentral:rRNA from 1 species